UUCUCUUUCGAAUGAUAUGCAUGAUAUGCAUCAUUAUCGAGUUUGCCUUAUUUCGUGCUUUCGUGCUUUCGUCUUUGCUUCCACUCUCCUGCUUCCUGACAGCACCGGACAGCUAUGGACUGGUCGGAAGAGGGAGUACAUUCUCCGACUACAAUGACCACGAGCACACAUUUCGAAUACGUCCUUAUGGUCCUUACAGAAGUUUGAAUGAAGAGGGUGGGUUGGUAUUUCCACUGGACUGCUGACAGAGUUUCAGGAUUGGCAAAUUUUAUUUAAAUCCACAUGCCGCAGUUCUUAUAGUUCUUGCGCCACUAGUGUUGAGCUCCAAUCAUAUGUAUUGUGAAUAACGAGGAUUUAUUAUGUUACAAAUAUUUGCUCACAGACAUUGCCCAGAAUCACUUUUACAGGUAGACACCUGUUCGCCCAGGAACAGUGGAAAUCUCUACAUCCAGAAAAGAAAUUUACACAGGUUUUAAGAAAGUUAUAAACACUUGUCUAGUAAUUUUUUCAUUGAUUCAAGAAGGCAUGUGUAAUUUACGUGACAUAUAAUCUACAGACUGUUUAUCUCCAGUGUCUGACUUAUAGCAGCAAUGCCACAUUGUGGGUGAAAAGGUCUAUUCUAACUGUUGUACACCUUCUGUCAAUCCAGGGUGAUUGCCGUGUUCGGCGCAAUCAUACUUUUUGUGCUGCUGCAGAUGGCAGCCGUCGUUAUUGUCAUCGCCCCUAUCAAAUACUAUGUUGACUAUGCCGCCGUACAUAAUCUGGCGUUUGAUUUGGUUCUUUGUUUGUUCCAGGCGUACCGUGUGCUCUACAAAACUAAGAAAUAAAUGUUAAAUUCCCAACAAGUGCGCCUCAUUUUUACUUCUGUGUGAAUGUAGAUACAUAAACAUAAAGAUACUCCUGACUGCAAUGAUUUACAAAAGCUGCCUGGUCUUUGAAACACUGAAAAGAAUUUUAAAAGCGCCUUCUUGAGCAAAAGAAUUGCACUAUCAGUUAAAAAAAUUAACGGUAAGUGCCAUGUAAAUGGCUACCACAGCACAGCACCUUGCGCAGAGAUGAGGAGCAUCCUAGGUACGCAAUCUACUGUAUAUCAAAACCAAAGCUGCUCAUUGGUGAUGAUAAUUAGAACGAACAGACCCCGAAUCAGAUUAUGUUUUUGAAGGGUGCUGUAAAACAUCGCAAGACCUAAGGAAACAUGAAUUCUAGGGUUAGUUACUCUAGUAGUUCAACUAGCCAGGAGGGGCCAGCUGCUCCUUCAGUGUCAGCAAUCUAUGGUCGUCGAACAUCAUGAUUAUGGAGUCUAGUAGUCCAGAUGACUCUGAAUCAGAGAGGUCUUGCUUCUCUCCCGGGAUGGAAGCAGCUGCUGGCCGAAGCUCAGUAACAGGUGCUGGCCUGAGCUUGGAAACAGCUGCUGGCCAAAGAUCCGAGGAAAGGGCAGCACUUUCCCCUGCUGCCCAAGCUGCCUUGCAGGCAGCAGCCGCUCCAUCCCGGGGAAAUGUCAAGAAAUUUAAGUCAAAUGGAGGUGUAGCAGUUGUCCCACCUCCCGACGAUUUUGCUGGCCGGAAGAAGAGGGAGGCCGACGCCAGGAUAGACAGGAGUUUGAAAGUUAUGUCCAGCGUGGCGAAACAAGUAGGGGACUUCUUUGCGACAAGGAAUAGCAGCACAAAGUCUUUUGCUAUUGACGAUGAAGAUGAAGAAGUGAAUGCCUUGCUGGGCGUUAUUAAAGUAAGCUUCAAAAGGAGGAUUUUAGUCGUCCAUAAAAAGGAAUGUAUAAGAGCGGUAGAAAAUGUUCUCCGGCGAUUUGAAGAUAUGAGUUAGUUUUAAGUCUGUUUUGUUUUCUCUUGUUGAUUUUACUCUUAUACUCUUACUCUUUUACUUUUAUACGGGUAAUUUUUAAAUGUUGACUGAUUUUAAAUGUUGACUGUUUUUAAAUGUUGACUGUUUUUAAAUGUUGACUGAGAGGAUAAGCCUACUGGAUAGCAAUCAUCAGGCUAUGUCAGAUGACUCAGUUUUUGAGUUUCAUCACAAUGACCUGCCUUAUUACUGCUACCCAGAAGGUUAUUGUUAAGUGUUAGGUAGGUCAUUGUUUUGUAACUGAUAAGACUGAGUCAUGUGACAUAGAUUGUUGAACGGCUGGCUGUGAAUCCUUGCCAUAUUUUCUUAGUGGAAUACAUCACUUAAAUUUUAAAUAAUUAUUUUAUUCAAUUGAGCAUAAUUCAGUACACCAUCAUUAUCACAGUAAUUAUAUCACACCCAACAAACAAGUACACCACUCACAUUAGGUUACAUAGGGCCUCUUACCAUUGGUACAUUUCUCAAGGCAUAAUCAUAUUGCCAUGGUACUUCUCCAUGUUCUGACACUUGAGUGACAUUGACCAGGGGGUAGAAACGGAGGGCUCAGGCCGCACACCAUGCGCGUCCCGGGCCGCGCGCCAGCCGGUUGAACACACGCAUGUCUUUUCCGCACUUUUUGAAGCUGUUUGAUAUUUUGACCAACCGCAUGAGUGGUAUCGCGCGAAAGGGCAGAGUUCGAACUUUACCGAGGUGCCUUUACAAUCCACCUUCGGUUUCAUUUGGCCGAGAUAAUUUGAUUAUAGUGAACCAACAGACCACUCGGAGGCCCCGCCGGGGCGCAAACAAAACAAAUUUUUACGUAAGCCAAGCGAUUGUAUUGUUGAACGAGGGUGUAACUAACAAGAUUACUAAACCAGCUUUCGAAUAGGAUAGGUGUCCUUUCGGUCUGAUCAAAAUAUAUCCUCCAUUUUAUAAAAAUAAGCUGAUCGACGCG